GAUGAACGCUGGCGGCGUGCCUAAUACAUGCCAGUCGAGCGAACGGACGAGAAGCUUGCUUCUCUGAUGUUAGCGGCGGACGGGUGAGUAACACGUGGAUAACCUACCUAUAAGACUGGGAUAACUUCGGGAAACCGGAGCUAGUACCGGAUAAUAUUUUGAACCGCAUGGUUCAAAAGUGAAAGACGGUCUUGCUGUCACUUAUAGAUGGAUCCGCGCUGCAUUAGCUAGUUGGUAAGGUAACGGCUUACCAAGGCAACGAUGCAUAGCCGACCUGAGAGGGUGAUCGGCCACACUGGAACUGAGACACGGUCCAGGCUCCUACGGGAGGCCGCAGUAGGGAAUCUUCCGCAAUGGGCGAAAGCCUGACGGAGCAACGCCGCGUGAGUGAUGAAGGUCUUCGGAUCGUAAAACUCUGUUAUUAGGGAAGAACAUAUGUGUAAGUAACUGUGCACAUCUUGACGGUACCUAAUCAGAAAGCCACGGCUAACUACGUG
rnacentral:rRNA from 1 species